rnacentral:rRNA from 1 species
AGAUUGAACGCUGGCGGCAUGCCUUACACAUGCAAGUCGAACGGCAGCACGGGAGCAAUCCUGGUGGCGAGUGGCGAACGGGUGAGUAAUAUAUCGGAACGUGCCCAGUCGUGGGGGAUAACGUAGAGAAAUUUACGCUAAUACCGCAUACGAUCCAAGGAUGAAAGCGGGGGACCUAAGGCCUCGCGCGACUGGAGCGGCUGAUAUCAGAUUAGCUUGUUGUGAGGUAAAGCUACACCAAGGCGACGAUCUGUAGCUGGUUGAGAGAACGACCAGCCACACUGGGACUGACGACACGGCCCAGACUCCUACGGGAGGCAGCAGGUGGGGAAUUUUGGACAAAGUGGGACGAAAGCCUAGAUCCAGACAAUGCCGCGUGACGAGGAA